rnacentral:rRNA from 1 species
CAUAAGUAACGAUAAAGCGGGUGAAAAGCCCGCUCGCCGGAAGACCAAGGGUUCCUGUCCAACGUUAAUCGGGGCAGGGUGAGUCGACCCCUAAGGCGAGGCCGAAAGGCGUAGUCGAUGGGAAACAGGUUAAUAUUCCUGUACUCGGUGUUACUGCGAAGGGGGGACGGAGAAGGCUAGGCUAGCCGGGCGACGGUUGUCCCGGUUUAAGCGUGUAGGGGGAGUGACCCGGUAAAUCCGGUUGCUUAUCAACCCUGAGGCGUGAUGACGAUGCACCACGGUGCAGAAGUAGUUGAUGCCAAGCUUCCAGGAAAAGCCUCUAAGCAUCAGGUAACACAGAAUCGUACCCCAAACCGACACAGGUGGUCAGGUAGAGAAUACCAAGGCGCUUGAGAGAACUCGGGUGAAGGAACUAGGCAAAAUGGUGCCGUAACUUCGGGAGAAGGCACGCUGGCGCGUAGGUGAAGUCCCUUGCGGAUGGAGCUGAAGCCAGUCGCAGAUACCAGCUGGCUGCAACUGUUUAAUAAAAACACAGCACUGUGCAAACACGAAAGUGGACGUAUACGGUGUGACGCCUGCCCGGUGCUGGAAGGUUAAUUGAUGGGGUCAGCCGCAAGGCGAAGCUCUUGAUCGAAGCCCCAGUAAACGGCGGCCGUAACUAUAACGGUCCUAAGGUAGCGAAAUUCCUUGUCGGGUAAGUUCCGACCUGCACGAAUGGCGUAAUGAUGGCCAGGCUGUCUCCACCCGAGACUCAGUGAAAUUGAACUCGCUGUGAAGAUGCAGUGUACCCGCGGCAAGACGGAAAGACCCCGUGAACCUUUACUAUAGCUUGACACUGAACAUUGAGCCUUGAUGUGUAGGAUAGGUGGGAGGCUUUGAAGCGUGGACGCCAGUCUGCGUGGAGCCAACCUUGAAAUACCACCCUUUAAUGUUUGAUGUUCUAACUCGGCCCCAUAAUCUGGGGUGAGGACAGUGUCUGGUGGGUAGUUUGACUGGGGCGGUCUCCUCCCAAAGAGUAACGGAGGAGCACGAAGGUUAGCUAAUCACGGUCGGACAUCGUGAGGUUAGUGCAAAGGCAUAAGCUAGCUUGACUGCGAGAGUGACGGCUCGAGCAGGUACGAAAGUAGGUCUUAGUGAUCCGGUGGUUCUGAAUGGAAGGGCCAUCGCUCAACGGAUAAAAGGUACUCCGGGGAUAACAGGCUGAUACCGCCCAAGAGUUCAUAUCGACGGCGGUGUUUGGCACCUCGAUGUCGGCUCAUCACAUCCUGGGGCUGAAGUAGGUCCCAAGGGUAUGGCUGUUCGCCAUUUAAAGUGGUACGCGAGCUGGGUUUAGAACGUCGUGAGACAGUUCGGUCCCUAUCUGCCGUGGGCGUUGGAAGAUUGAGAGGGGUUGCUCCUAGUACGAGAGGACCGGAGUGAACGCACCACUGGUGUUCGGGUUGUCAUGCCAAUGGCACUGCCCGGUAGCUAAGUGCGGAAAAGAUAAGCGCUGAAAGCAUCUAAGUGCGAAACUUGCCUCGAGAUGAGUCUUCCCUGGGCCUUUAAGGCCCCUGAAGGAACGUUUAAGACUAAGACGUUGAUAGGCUGGGUGUGUAAGUGCAGCGAUGCAUUGAGCUAACCAGUACUAAUGAUCCGUGAGGCUUAACCUU